CCUAUUCCCUAUAUAGUGGUACUACUUUAGACCAGAGCCCUAUUCCCUAUAUAGUGCAUUACUUUUGAACAGAGCCUGGCACUAUAUAGGGAAUAGGGUAUAAUUUGGAACGCAGUCGAUACUCUUUGGGAAGUAGAACGGUUUCCUCCAACUCAUUUUGUUAGCAGCUGAUUGGCUGUUCUGAAAUGACUCGGUCCCUGUUGAUACUGAGGUUUUAUAUCCACUAUUCUGAAAUGACUCGGUCACUGUUGAUACUGAGGUUUUAUAUCCACUAUUCUGAAAUGACUCGGUCACUGUUGAUACUGAGGUUUUAUAUCCACUAUUCUGAAAUGACUCGGUCACUGUUGAUACUGAGGUUUUAUAUCCACUAUUCUGAAAUGACUCGGUCACUGUUGAUACUGAGGUUUUAUAUCCACUAUUCUGAAAUGACUCGGUCACUGUUGAUACUGAGGUUUUAUAUCCACUAUUCUGAAAUGACUCGGUCACUGUUGAUACUGAGGUUUUAUAUCCACUAUUCUGAAAUGACUCUGUUGAUACUGAGGUUUUAUAUCCACUAUUCUGAAAUGACUCUGUCACUGUUGAUACGGUAAGGAGGUUUAAUCAUGAGAUGUCGCCACUUUGAAAAGAAACCUUUCUCUUUCUUAGGGGAAGGAGUGUUUUAUUAAAUGUUUACUGCUUCCA